rnacentral:lncRNA from 1 species
AUGAAUUAACUGGUAGGUUUAUGUUGUAGGAAGUGGAGAGAGAUCUCACAUAGCCGUGGUGAAGAAAGGAAAUGUAUAAUAGUGAUUGCAGAGAAUGGUAUGUAGGGGGUUUCUAGGAGUGCUUAUUGAAGCUCCUGAACUUCUUGUUAACAUUUGUGGGUUUGGCACUCGUUGGUUAUGGUAUUUAACUCUUUGUUGAGUACAAAAAAUGCAGCAUCUUCUAGUGAUGAUAGUGAUUAUUGAAGCUCCUGAACUUCUUCUUAACACUUGUGGUCUGGCACUUGUUGGUUAUGGUAUUUAACUCUUUCUGGAGUACAAAAAUGCAGCAUCUUCUGGUCAUGAUGUCCCCAUUGCACCUUCAGGUGGUGUAUGCAGCUUGGCUGCCCGAUGCUCAUGGCUGUGUCUUUAGCUGAUAGCAUUUUCGAUAAACUCCCCAACACUUGGUAUAGUCAUCCAUUUAGCUCUGUCUUCAGUUAUUGAUAAUUUUGACGCGUUUGCAAUUUUAAAUUAGUGUGCAUGCUCAUACUUCAUUACAUCCGACCUAUAACUUGUGUUAAUUUUUUAAAGCUUAGCCGUACAUGCUCCUACUUCAUUACAUCCAACAUAUAACUUUUCGAGUUUUUUAUCCCCUUCUUCAGUGGGGGGGUGUUCCCUGUCUAAUGUACUAUGGCUGCUAAUUUUGGUCUGAUUUGGCUUGUGAUAUCAUGCUGAUUUUUUAAUAAUUCUGAUAUGAUAUGUGGCCAUUUAGUUUUGUUAAUUAUCAACUCCGGUUCCUCCACAUUGAUGUUAAGUACUAUUCUUGAAGACACAGAAUGACUAAAAUCUAUGAGUAAGGCCAUAAAUUCAAUUGCUCAAAUAGAAGUUCUAUUUGCUACUUUAGCUCCCUUGAUUAUUAAUUAUUACACUUACAAUAGAGUGAAAAUUUAUUGUUUUUUCAUUAAGGGUCUGUUUGAUUGUAAAGAUAGAAUUUGGAUGGAAAGAAAACGAAUUACAGGAAAUUGAAUUACCUAGAAAUUGUUUUCCUGGGAAUUGUAAAUUAUUGUAUUUGAUUGGUAUAAUUUUUCACGUGGAAAAUGUUGAAAUAAAAGUAUUUUUUGGUGUUCGUUUGAUUUUGUUUUACAUGAAAAUUGUCAAUUAAAGGGAUAGAAUUUACUGGUAUUGAGAAUAAAAUUUGUUUCCAUUGAUAAAAAAAAAAAAAAAAAUUCAUCUUUCUUUUGGUGUCCAUUUGGUUUUGUUUUACAUAAAAAUUGUCAAUUAAAGGGAAAUGUUUUUUUACAAUAAUUUUAAAAUUUAUUUCCAUUGUAAAAAAAAAGGGAAAACGUCAACAGUAACUGGGAAAAUCAAUUCCCGCCAAAGCAAGAAAAAUGCAGCUCCCAAGAAAUCCAAAAAUUUCUAUUCCAUGGAAAAUAAACCCCUAUCAAACACACCAAAGUUGGAAAAUGCCACCCAAAUUCUAUUUUCCAUGGAAAUGUUUUGCCAAUCAAACGGUGCCUAAAGGUCAAAUGAUGUGUUUACAUAAUAAAAUUUCCAAAGUGGCAAUUUUGCACAUAUUUGAUGAUUGACUCAGUCAUCUGCAAUUUUUCAGCCAGUUAGCAUGAAAUAAGACAUCUUAUUCAAAUGAAGCCUAACAUUUUUUUGUUUCCCACUAAAACACAUUAAAGAGUUUUAUGGUCCAUAGCCAUAUCUCUUAUAGUUGACUACCGGUAACAUUCUUAAAAUACAUUAUCGUGAUUGAAAACUUUCUUCCAGUGCUAGAAUUUAGAUUUCCUCUAUAGUUUCAAAUGACUUUAUUUACUCUCCAAAUGCAAUUAUUGACCAGACAAUAAUGUAUAUAGUUUGUUAUUACUCACCAUGAUGCUUUUUCAUUUAUCUCCUUCAAAUCUAGCAAUGACACCAGUCCUCAAAAUGAUUGGAUAGGAGCAUGGUGGCAUAGUAGCUUGAUUGGUAUCUCUGGUAAGGUAACUGUAUUCUGUCAUUUUUUAUAUUUUGUUUUUUUUUUGUGCAACAUAUUUAUUUUACUUCUGCAUUCCGUACAUAUUUGAAUACCAUUAGCUGUUUGGUGGGCCAUAUCACAUCAGUAAAUAUUCUGUCGAAAGUCCAAAACCAAUUUGAGGAACUUCUUGAUUCAUUUUAUAUGGAAUAUAAAUCAACUGAAUUUGUCUCGAUAAAUCUCUAUAUUUGAAGCGAUUUCUAGUUUUUUUAGAUUGUGAGUCAUAUUAUGUUGCUUUCUUUAUAUGGUGAAGAUGUUUUCAGCCUAAAAAAACUUAUUAUUUCCUUUUCCUCUUGUUCUUCGGCUGCAACCGGCUUUGCUUCUUGUAUCCAUCCAAGCUACAUACAUGUUCUCUUACAUUUAAUGUCUCUGCCCUUGUUUGGCAGGUGUUCAAAUUAUAAAAUACUUUUGGUGAAACUACUAUUCCUCUACAUAUUUUGUAGGAGCUAAUCAAAUUAUAAACAAUUCCUGACCAUUCUUUUAGUCUCCAUUUAGUUGGGUUCUGUGCUUCAAACUUUGAUAGCUUCUUCAGUAAUUUUUUCAUAGUUUCGACAUCCUAAUCAAUGUUUUUUGGAACAAUUGUCUACGGUAUGAUUUGUGAUAUAAACGCUUGAAUCAAUCAGGUUUAGAGGAGAAAGAUAGCUUAUAUGCUUGAAACAGUCAAAAGGGAACAUAUUAUUUGGAUUUUCGAAGGUCUUUGAGAACCAUGGAUCAAAUUCAGCAAGUUUUCUUUGCAGCUAAUGAAGCAAUUUAUUUGACAUGUAGACUUAAUGAAAAACAAAAAUGAAAAAGCUGGCAAAUCGGAUACUGUUUAUUAUUAGCUUUUGUAUUCUCUAUAGUGAAUAAUUUUUGUUUGUUGUUCUUUUUUCGUCUAAGGCUAGACCAUAGAAUUGAAUCGACAGUGCUUUAUCCCCUUCUUCUGAAUGAAAUCUUCCUCUGAAUUUCAAUUGAAUCGGCGAUACUUCAUGUUGUUCUAUAUUUACAUCACUUCAAUUGAAUUUCUUUUGCAACUCAUGCUUUCAUGUCCUGUGGCUUUACACGGUAAGCUAAUUAAUGUUGCUAUACCUGUAACUACAAAUGGUGUGCCACAAUCAGGUAAGAUAUCAUAAACUCCAAGUAUAAUUCAAUUGUAACAAAAAAUAAAAAAUAAAAUGGACUGUAUCAUAUCAUUCUUAAACUCAACUCUCAAUACACUACUUUUACAAAUCAACUGUCUCUCAUUGGAGUACUCAAAGUUAGCAGGUAAAGUGGUAUGUAACACCUAUGUAGUAGGUCACAAAGGGCUUGCUUUACAAGAUUUCAUCACUGCUGGUCCAUGUAAAAAUUUUAGUGUGGACUCUGUGCUUCUAUUUGAUCAAAGUCGAUUUUACAAUUACUUAUAUGUCCCAUUUCUAUAUUUUUUCCUCUAUUUGUCUCCAGGCUUAAGACUAAUUUUGAUGUCAUUGAUUUGUUUCUUUUCUCCAUUUUUACGUGCCAUAGCCAUUUCGUCUCUUUACUGCAUUCCACACACAACCGUCCAUAUUCUGCAGCCGUUACCGUAUCUCUUUAUUUCUUCUGCUAGGUUUUCUUUCCAAUUCCUAAUUUCAUUGAUGGAUCUCACAAAGAAACCUAGGUCGACAAGAAUGGCGUCGCCUAUUCUGUACCCAACAACUUAAAUGUUACUACAGCCGUCGCAUCCACACCAAUUUCAGCAGCACCAGCAGCAAUCAUAUGUGGGCGGCAACUUUUCGCGAAUAAAUUCAUUGUUUGUUUUCUCUAUGAUUGAUUUUGUUGGUUUGUACUCUUCAUCGUGAAUGAUUUUUGUUAUUUUUUUUUUUCUUUUUUUGGAUGAAAAAACCCUAGAAUGGAUUUUUCUUCCUUUUUUUACCACAAUUAAUAUAAUUAUGAGAUAAUACCGUUUCUUGCUUUUAUUUGAUCUAGGGAUCUGGUUCCGUUUAUUUGAUUUAUUCGAACUGCUAAAUGAUCCUUUAAACAUACCAAACCCCUUAUUUCUGUUCCAUUUCUUUUUUAUCUAAUUUUUGUUGCUUUGACUAUAUAACAACAGAGAUUGUUGUGAAACAUUUUUGAUCGGCAUGAAUUCGUGUGAUAUGAUGUAAAACAAGUACGUUGUUCACAUCUCUGUUCUUUGCUCAUUUGUAUUUGAUUAGUAUGUUCUUGAAGUCUUGUUAACAUGGAUGGACACACUAACUUAUUUGCAGGUUAUUCAGUUUGUGACACGAAGCAGCCUGUAUGUUCUCUUGACUUGAGUUAUAAGCCUUCACAUUCUGUUUCUAUCAAUACUUGAUUUGCCUGGCCUGUGCUCUCUGAAUCUAUUUAGCCUGUAUGUUUUGUUGUUUUCUCUGUCCUUAAAAAACAUCUAUCAAUACUUGAUUUGCCUGACAUACAUCUCUGUUCUUUGUCAUUUAUGUUUUGCUAUUCUCUUUGCUUUGUUCAAACGUGCUAUAACAUUAAGAAAAUAAUGUGUAGACAGUAGAUGUACAUGUUUUUUCAACAUGUGAUUUGAUGAUGUCACACUUUUGACCAUAUUAGUUUGUGGCCUAUGAUUAGUAAGCUCUUUGCCUAGUAGCUUUGAUGUUGUGACCCUAUCUCUCUUUCUCAAAUUGUCAUAAAUCCAUUUGUUUGAUCUUUUGUUAUUUCCUUUCAACAUGGUAGAAAGUGUUCUGCUUUAUAUUGUCGGUGACUCCUAUGCUUUAUUUGGGAUGAGUACAUUGUCAAUUGAUAUAUUACAUGAUUUAUGUUUAUGGUUUAAAGACAUAGAGACAUUUAUCUCUUACGUAGGCACGGAUGAGUUCGGGCAUAUGUAUAUUGACAUAUUAAAAGAAAAUUCGGGCAUAUGUAUAUUGACAUAUUAAAAGAAAACAAAGUUAACAAUUCUGGUGAGGUUUAAUCCUUGUGCAAGGACUGCACUGUGCAUUUGUUACUCUCAUAGCUGAUGGUGAGCGUGAAUUCAUGUUCUUCUGUAGUCCUAGCGUUGAUAUGUUUCUUUGUGAGUCAGAUCUUGACAUAGACCUUAUUAAGUGAGCUUUCAGUUGCCCACUAUAUUUAAAGAUCUAGCGGAAGAUGUGCUAAUAUUACUUUGAUCACGUUAUUUAUUCAAUGCUGGCAAGCAUCUUUUGUUACAGUUCAAUUAGUUUGAUUGAAGAAACAUGUAGGUCUACACAGCUUGCUACAAUGGCCAUUCCGAACAAGUCUGGUAGCAUACUCUCUUAUGACCCAAAUCUGAGAUUGCCCUUGUAGCCUACAGGAGAAGCUACUCGAAAGGAGAUAAUGAACAAAUGGCCCCAGGCAGACAUUAUCAACGUACAUUUUUUAUCAUAGGCAACCCUUCUAUGAAGUUCUGAAGUAUUCUGGAUAAUGAUUAAUUUUGUUCACUUUCCUCACCAGAAGAUAUUCUGCUCACACUCAUAAUUAAUUGGGAGUGUAUAAUCUGACAGAUGAGAGGAGAUAACAUUCCUCACCAUAAGAUCUUCUGCUCAGGAUGAAACCUGUUGCGGCAAUAUCAACCCUAUAGGUAUUGUUAUACCUCUGAUAGUGUCGUAACUGAAUAUUCUACGUGAUACGGGGAAAACCAACCGAUUGGGAAAUACGUUUAAUUGGGCUCAGUAAUAAAUUGGUUGGGUUCACUCUUUUCCAACUUAUCUCACAAAUUGACGUUGAUCUAUUUUUCAUGUAUCACUCUUGCUAAAUUGUAAAAUUCCAUAAAACUUUGUUGUGAUUUUUUUAAUAUUAACAAAAGAGGAAAAAAUUCCAUCUUACUGCAACUCAUCUCGAGCAAAAUCCUUUACCUAAAAGAAUAAAAAUGAAAAAAGAUCUAUGACUUGCUUAAAUAGUUGGAAAAUGUGUACUCUGCUUCCCCUCAAACAUUUAUCAGUGUUUCAUAAUUAGGAAUAUAUUAUUUUAUCUAAAUUUUGCAAUUUCUGUAUUUUUUUUUUUUUUAAUUAUUUUUUCCUUUCAAUUUUCAACUUUGGGUUGGCUUGAGCAUGGAAUGUUGAUAACUUGGGUACUAAUGAGUUUGGAUAAUAUUUCCGCUCUGACCUGGUAUCGUGUGGAGAAGUAAUAAACUGGCAUGCGAUCAAUACUUGACAAUUGUUUUUCUAUCAAUACUCUGAUUACAAGUUAAGUGACGUUUUAGAUUUCCUUAUCUCACUAUAUGUUGAUCCCUAAUACAGUAAUACUCUACAAUGGUUAUAUCUCAAUUGGAACUCUUUCAAGCCAGCAUUACUACUACUAUUACUACUAGAAUUGAUACCCUUGAAUUUUUAUUCAAUUCCUUGGCAUCUCUGAAAUGUUGACAAUAGUUUGUUAAACCUUGUUAACUACACUAUACUUGAAAUUAUCUGGUCAGUUGUUUUGUGCAAAAGCAUGAUAAUCAAAUGCAUCAUUUUGUUAUUAAAUGUGCGAUGUAUUGUUUGAAGCAACAGAUGAGAAGCACACUCACGAAAUAAUGAUAGCAUUUUCUUGCAUUGCUGGUGUAAGGAGCUAUUAUGAUGAGGGAAAAAGAGUUGCUGAAACUUUGAUGUUCGAUUAACGUAGGCGGCACGGAAUUGGUAAAAAUCCCUUUCUUUUGCUACAAAUCAUAUAGUUGUUAUUGGUUUUUGACAUCCAAUUCUCCAAUUGUGUCAAAAAUAUUGAAAACAUAUGAUGCAUUUCUUACAAGUUGAAAUGAUGACUCCACAACAGAAAUACGUUUUGCAUGGAUCUUCAACACCUAUGGACCCUGCAUGAAUAUUGAUGUUGGUCUAGUUGUCAGCAAUUUUAUAGCUUAAGCGAUUUGGUAUUAUUUUAUUGUCACGCUAUUAUCAUCUGCAUACCUUUGAUCUCAAUUGUUGGCCUUUGUUAUUUCUAGAGUCAAAGCCCACUUCUGAGAACAUUGCAAAUUGUGACCAAAUAAAACGAGAUUUCACCUUCUCAAUUCUCACACUAUUUCCUUUUUGCACAUGUAUGCAGUGAUGAGCCUUUUGACUGUCCGCUUGCUUGGAACACAAACAAGAAGCUUUUGUUACAUCUCUGACAUGGUACAAAAGAGUAUUAUAUCAUUUUGGUAAUUGAACCCUAUAAUACAUGUUACUAUCUUUGGUGGUCUUACUCUUAUUUCUUUUACAUGUGAAGGUCGAUGGUCUAAUUCUACUAAUGGAAGGCAAAAAAAGUACAAGGCCAAUCAACAUUGGCAAUCCAGGCUAUUAACAAAAAAUAUAGUUCUAAAAUGCUAAAAUCAAGUUCAUUAUAUCUCUUUGAGUAUAAAGCUUAUGCUGCUUGUUAGUUUCCUGGGAAAGGUAAAGUGUACUGUGCUUUCUUCGGAGCCAGUCGUGCCUCACAUAUUCAUGAAUUGGGCUUUCAAUAGUACGAUCUUUGGGCAUAUGUCCUCAAUUUCGCUUUGGGAGAUAGAGAUUACUGUCACUUGUGCAGCGAACCAAGCUUACCACUCAAAAAAGUCCUCUGUAAUGAAAGGAAUGACUAAAUGCCAAAGGGUGAUCCCCCCUUUCCAUUGAAGAGCACGAACACGAAAGUCUCAUGAACUUCUUAUUGGGACAGUAGCUUCAAUGGCUCGAUAUAAAGACGGUUUGGCUGUUCUUUUGUAUUGAAAGGGUAUAGAAAUUCUAGGAUCCUGCUUUUGGUUUGGAAACAAAUAAUGUUAGGAUAACUGGCUCAUGGUUAUACUAAAAGGCAAAUUUAUAAUGUUUUGAGUUUGUUGAGACUGAAGGAGGCAAUUUCCAAAAUUGUGCAUCGAUACAAAUUUCUUUUCCUCUCUCUUGUUCUUUUUCAAGUAUGAUAUGGAACAAAAUGGUUUGUGUCUGUACAGAUGAUUAACCCAAAAGUGAAAAUCAUUACGGUGAAGAAUAUUCUAGAUGAUCCUUUCCAGAGAAAACCUGAUAUAACCAAAGGCAAAGGAGUGUCUUGGCUAGGAACCAAAGGUCAAGUUGCAUGAUGGCCUUCCCCUUCCGCAAGAGGAAUGGAAUCCGGAGGAAGUGAUUUACUCUCUAAAUCUUAUUUAAUGUUAAUGAAAAAGCAUUUUUUGUUAAUAACUUUGCUGAUUUACCUUUAUUUAAUUAUCAACAACUAGUAGUAAAUUACUAUUGGAAAUAGUAAAGAAAUUGAACAGGAGCGGACCCAGACCGUUCGAACUGUG